GAAAGAAAAAAGAAAAAAGAAAAAAUAGACAGACCCAUAGGCAAACCAACACACAGCAUGAGCAGAUUGGCACAAUGGAACACCCCGCUUCCAUACGUAUUUGGAGGUCUAGUACUCAUCAUAGGAUUCAUGUCUGUUGCACUCAUCAUCCUUGCUUGCUCUCACUACAAGUCGUCGGGUGAGAAAGAAGAGAAAUCAAGAAGGACUACAGAUGCAGUUGUGGCCAUGGAGACUAAAAUUGCUGUUAUAAUGGCUGGUGAUCGCCACCCUACCCAUCUGGCUAAGCCUUCUGCUUUAACUCGAAAUUCACUUCCAAGCUCUUGACGCAGUUUUCUUGGUAAUCCCCUUGUCCGCUCCUGCCUUAAUUGAUCUGCCUUCUCUAUUGGAUCAAAAAGAUAGAUUCAAUAGAACGCGAGGAAGCCUGACUUGCUGACCAUCCCGGAGGUUUUACGUAUCAACAAGAGAGAAAAUGAGGUGGUCAGAAUGAGCACUAUUGGCCACUCAAGAUAAACUGUGUAAGAAGAAUAUAAGGGUAUACUAUAAAUCUUAAAGAAAAUAAAAUUAAAAAACAAAACAGAAAACACAUGGCUAGGUGCUUAAGGUUUUGAUAAUUUGACAUUCAAUAUCUCUCUUUUUGUUUCUUCUUCUUCCUUGAUGGUUUAUCAGUUCAUUUCUUGGAUUAUUUAUAAUUUUAUUUUAAGAUAAUAUGUAUUUUCAGUAAUAAAAUUGAGUUACUUAAUAUACAACUAAUUAAAUACAAUAAUAAUGAAGUCAGUUAAUACAUAAUUUAAUUUUAUUUAAAAUAAAAAUAAAUAAUUUAUAAGAUAACUUUAUAAGGCAUACAAAAAUUUCAGUUAAUUUGAUGGUAAAAUUUUAUUAAGAUGAUUUUACUAUAAAAGUCUAUGUUACAUUAAUAUCUCACCACAAGAAAACAAUAGUAUUAAUUGUAGAGAAUUAAAAUUUAAUGAAAUAAAAUCACAAAUCCAAAAAAAAAAAAUUAAAAAAAAAGAAGAAAAACAAAUAAAGUUGCAAAAUAUUUUACACAAGGGGGACACCUUUUUUUUUUUCUUACAUUCAUUUUUCCUGCAAUUUUUCUUGUGAGAACGACAUUAAUGGUAUUUGUGAACCCGAAUAAUCUUUUUUUUGGUUGAAUCAGAAUGUAGAGGAUUGAUAUUGGGUAAUCAAUUCUAGUAUAUAUAUAUAUAUCUCAUUCCCGCAACCUGGUAGGUAACUUUUUUUACUCUUUAUGUUGACAAAGUGAACAGGGGCGGAAUCCAAGUAGGGAAAGCGAAUCUAUGCUUUCUAUGUUUGAAUUGGAUACCAAUUGCUUGGAUGCGUUUGAAAGCCAAGAGAUGAAUUGACUCUUGCAUAACAAAUUCUUUCUAGUCGGGAAAGGUUUGUCUUGUAUCUCCGUAACAAAUAGCCCAUUUAUUGAUGGGCGAACGACGGAGAUUGACCCCGCGCGUGGUGGAUUCACAAUCCACUGUCUUAAUCCACUUUCUCUUGACAAAUAGUAAUGGGUGUUGGGUAAAGAAUGGUCUCAGCGUAUGAAUUUCUAUUUUCUAGAAUUUAGAAUAUUGUUGUAGCACGUUGAAGCUAUUAGAGAUGAAUCCAUAUUACAUUUUAGUGGAUCACACGGGAAUGCGACUCCCGUAUAUAUUGAGAUUGAAAAGAAAGCACUGUUUUUUUUUUAUUUAACCGAUUUAGCCAUAAAGUUUUAAUUUGGCUGAAUAAGCCCUUUUGACCCGGAAAUGUUUAAUUUUUCUUACGUCCAACUCCUGGUUUUGAAGGAAUAUCAAGCCCUUUCCCUUUUGUUUAUUCUCUUUUUUCUGCCUAACUGGUGGAUCCAUGACACAUAAAUGGAAUCCAUUUGUCUUA